ACAUUUUCAAUUAAUUAACCUAUCUGGCAGUGGCACCGAACACAUGCUAAAAUGUAGUGAUACCAAUAAACGUCCAAACCUGGCAGGACAGAAUAAUCCAAUGUGGUUAAGAGACAACAAAACAUGUAUCGAAAAGUAAAAAAAAUAAAAAAAAAAUAAAAAAUACACAUUACUGCUAGUCCACAAACCGGUUCACGAAUGGAUAAGAAAAAAAUCAAAAUAAAAUUCCCAAAAAAUGGUGGUGACAUAUUUUCGUUAGUUUAAGAUGUUUAAACUCUAAAAAAGUUUAAGUUAGAUGCCAGGAUAAAUAAACUUGGCGGCAAAAAAAAGUUUAUUUUAACCUAAUAAAUAUUGUCCGUAUUCAUUUUAUUAUUUCUAAUGUAUAUAAUUUUUUAAUUAUUUUUAUUUUAAUUAUUUUAUUUUAUUUUUUAUUUAUAUUUAUUUAUUUUUGUAAAAAUAAAAAAUAAAACCAAUUGUUGGGUAAGAUGAAUUGGAGGCUCUGCAGAACUGUAUUUGCAGUAAAGACAAGCAAGAAACUGAUGUUCGGAAUCAGUUUCGGCGCUCUCUGUGAAGCCAAACAGGAAGUAAGAAGCGCAUUUUAUGCCACUUGCAUGAAACGACUCGCCGGUGACGUUUCCAAGCGAUUGCUUGACAAAGAGCUGAACUAGCCACGUCCUCUCAAGUGAUGUCAUUGCUUCUUCACAAGUUGCUCGCUGCGAGGACACGACGUUUGAUGGCAAAAGCGGCCUGAUGUUGGAGAUGCUGACGGCACUUUUAAUCCACACGCGCACGCACACAAUAGGCCGCUAAGUGUGUGUGUGUGUUUGUGUGUGUGUGUGUCUCUUUCUGAUUUGGGUGUGGGCAUUCUGUCAGAUGACAGCCUUGCAAAAAGCAUUGUGGCAGAAAUUGCGCCUCAUCUUCAAAGGCAGCAAUUUGUCUUUGCUCCGCUCGUCAUGUGCGCAUGCCUGGCAAACAAAGCUGUCUACCUACGGUCUUAAACCACCGCCGGAUUUGUGUACUUUACGAUGUUGUCAUGACCGUACUAGCGGACGAGGAAAUGAGACGGAAGGUUGGAUGGAUAGUUUGGGUUUUAGGCUAGUGGAUGGGGUUUGUCAAACGUUUUCUUCACAAAAAUAUGUUCCAUGCGCACUCACCGUUGGCACUGUGAUGUCAUUUUCGCUCGACGGCAACUGGCCGACCCCCUGAGAUGGAUCAAAACGGGUGCGUUUUGCUCCCUACCGAAAGCCGUUGACACUUUCUAAAUGAGUUAAAUGGCUGUUUAAAAUGGUGAGCAUUAGAUAGGGUUCGUUGCAUAUUUCAGGGAAUGGGGAAAGUGCAGCGUAUCAUCUGCCUCGUGUGCACUUUUAUCUUCAUCUCCCGCUGUGAUGUUUCAUUCCUCCUCUCUAUAAUUUUGCCCACCUCGUUUCACUGCCCGCAGCAGGCACUCCCGGUAAUACCCGCCUGUCGACGGCGUGCACCUCUCCUCCUCUUUACGUUUACAUUUUACUCCUGUUGUAACUCAAAUAAGUGUUGCGCCUGACUUGGGGCAGACUCCGCCAUCAGCGGAGGUGACUGACAUUGUUGAUUAAAGGGCUCGUAAAACAGUGCCGGGCACCGGGCUGGGAGAGUAUAUUGAGGAGCUUGUUUAAAUCGAUCCUCUUGUCCCGAUGACUAUCAGCCACGGGGUGUGCGAGUGUCGAGCUCAGCGCGGUCGAGCUCGGAAAUGGGAUCGAUUCGAAUGUAGGGGGUAGGGGGGGUGUAAACUGUGGAAAAUUUUGAUUCUUUGCAAAACUGUACGUGUCAAGAGUUAGUUGGUUGUUAUUCGGGUUUAGUUUAGGCUACGUUAGCGCUCUGGCGUAAGUUGUUGCUGAUUUGUUACAGGAGGUGGAUAACUGAAUUGGUUGCUUACGGAAAAGGUCAUCCAGGUGAUCCAACAUUUAUUGAUCAGUCGUCAUAUUUAUUAUUUUGAAAUUAGUCAACUAGUUGUUUGUUGCAUGACUAUAAUGAGUGUGAACCAGGUCAGAAAAUGAUUGUGAAAUGUUUUAAAUUACGUAUGACAAUUUGAGAUUUCGAUACAGAUUUAGGAUCAUGGACAUUCACGCAGAUGAUUUGCUUUUACGGGCCAUAGAAAAUGACGUGGCGGGCCGCAUCUGGCCCGCGGGCCUUGGCUUUGACACCUGGCGGUUUAGUGGGUAUGGCUUCACUCAUUCACCACCACUGCGGAUAAAACAAUGGCACUUUUUCGACUUCAAGAGCCGUCAAUGGCAUUGUUAAGUUGGGUUUUCAGUGUGUACUAACGAGGGGUUGUGGGUUAGUGGAUCAGGAUUAGUUAAAAGAAGCAGCUUAACAGUCGGCGUUUAUGCCCGGCCGUCGUCAUUAGUCCUUGCGGUUUUCGCUGUGAAAAGCGUGGCUUUCAUCCAAAACUUUCUUGUACAUCUUUUGCCCCUAUGGAGCUCGCGAGAGAGGGGAAGUGGGGGCGAGGCGGUUGGGAAUACGUCGGAAGGCAGGAAGGCCGACUCCAACCAUCACGCUUUCUCCCUCAUCAUAAAGACGAGAAGCCCCCCCCCCCCCCACGUGCAUUCUCCCCGCCUGCAGUUAAUGCACGGACAGCGGAUAGCUCAUUAAGAUUGAUCAUCCCUUGCCCACUUCCUCGCGUGCACAAUGCGACGACGGCUUCAUUAAUCACCCCGAUCUCGGAGAUAAAGCUCGUGAACGUCGGCGGCCCGACCCGCGGCUCUGACAGAUCAGGUUGUACAUGCGUAAUGGCGUCCUGAGAGCGUCCCCUUCCCACCCCGCAUCUGCCCUCUUUUCGACAAGCCACUUUUGCUUCCGUUGACGGGAUCGCGUCACCUUUUGUUGUCUCACCACUCGGUUGCGCUUUGAUUUAUUCUUUUCCUUCCCGCCUCUGACGCCCUGUCGGACUUGUUAGCACCGUCUGUAAGUCCCUCAGAGUUUUGUGUGCGUCCUGACUACCAUGAUGAUCUUGAACGCGCUGUCAUUUUUUUCGAUUUUUGAUUGGGCACUACUUGAGUGAGUUUUGGCUUUUCAUGUUUGAGACCUUGAAAAUAAAUACACCUGUUCCAAGGUGGGUUGAGCACCUCAAAAAAACGCUAUUCCACUAUAUUUAGUUAGCAAAGUGCAAGCGCAAAGUAGAAAACAAGCAAGAAAGAUUUAGAAAUAGCUAGAGUCCAUUUGGCUCCGGGGAGCUUCUUGCCUCCGCCCCCUCGGGAAACUUAACGGAAAAACGAUACGAUCCGUCAUGAAAGCCCAUCAAAUAAAGUUGAUUUCCGGGUCACAAACCGACACGAGGAGACAUUUACAACGCGUGUGAUUCAAGUCGCGUGGCUAUAAACCGAUACGACCUCAUAUUUUCACCGCCCUUGUAUUUGUUUUGCUAGACAGCCAAAAAUAAACAAAGAACUGUAUACAGCACCUUAAAAUAUGAAUGUCCCUGUAGGUGUGUGUUUAUGUAUAUAAAAUUCGAUAGGACUUGAAAAAUCUGUCCAAAAUGCUCUGGAAGCGCUUCCAUUAUGUGAAAACCUGCUCGAAAAGGAGUUUUUGUUCAGACAGGUAAAGAGAAGACUGCGAAACUCUUGAUGUGAGGGCACAAAAGCCCGAGUGAUCAUUCCCAGCUCACAAUGUGAUAUGGCAUGUUUUGAAAUCAAGGUCUCCGAGGGCCGACAAUCAAAACUCAAUAUUUCGCCGUAUUCAACUAAAACCAAGUUUUGAGCCAUUCAGCCUUUUUUUUAAGUCGUAUUCUGAUCAAGUUAAAAUAGAACCGCAACAAGUUAAAGGCUGAAGAAAGACUAGCCGGUAAGCACGGCGGAUGCUACGGGGAAACCUUUUCUGUGGUGCGGCGGAUGUUUCUUCCUAAUGAGAAGGCCUAAUUGCAGCCGACGCUAGCAACACUCCGUUGACGCAGACGCUUUUCGACGGUGUCGGCCGUGCCCGUGUCAAACUUCUGCCCAGAAAACUUUUAAAUGGCUUUGAUAAUGCAUGCAGGACAUCUAAUAAAUACUAAUGACAGGAGCAGACAAUAGCAGGAGUCGCUCCCCCUUUCCAUCUUAUUAUUCCUGGGAGUUAGCAGCAAGGUCGGCACGGGGGAGGGCGGGAAGAUUGAUAGUUUGUCUGCGAUGUAGACGGAUGAUAAUAGGCUCCAGACUGCAAUCGAGACAUCUUAGGUGCGACGGGAAAAUGUUAUCGAACGACGCCGAACGGCAGCGUUAUUGACUUUUCAUUGUGGCGUUUCUGCGAGCGUCACAUGACGAUAUCUUACAGUUGUCGCGGUGUCGAUACUUGAUGCGGUUGCGCGGGGAGUGUAUUGUGUAACGCGUGACGACGCGAUACAUCACAAUGCCGUUAUUUGUCGGUAGCGGAUGUCAUACAGUCGCAAUUUCAUGCUAGUUCAUCCACACGGCAUAGCAACAGACGGUGAGACGUUACAGUAUUGCGAUUGGAACCGAUGCCGGCAGGGUUUAGCGCCACGUCGGUAUUCGUGACUAGCGUAUCGAUACAGUAACAUAACAGAUAACAAUAUGCUUCAUGAACAUUGACGUUUAAUACUGUAAGGAAUAGUUCACCGUAUGUGGGUUAGCGGUUUAGCGCGCUGUUGUUUAUUAGCAUCUCAACGCUCUAAAUGUUGUCUGUCUUCAAAAAAUAAAAUGAAGGUCACAGCUGCUAUAUUUAAACAUGGUCCGAAAAAUCAUGAAAGAGAGACACUAUGUAUUUUUUUUUUUUUUGGCCAAGCGUCGCAUAGCCCCCGCCGCUGACCUUCCCGCUUGAGCCGCUUUGACUUUUAGGAUGUUGCCCGGUAAACACGCGACACAUACGCGGUGACAUUUAUCUUAAAGGGCUCGGCUGACGCGAAAAUGUUGUUAGUGUGUUUGUCUACAUGCCGAAGAGUCGGUGAGAAAUGCGGUGAGUCAUAAACGCGCUACGAGUGUCAAGGGUAUAAAAAUAAAUACAUAAAUAAAUUUAAAAAACUAAGAAACGCUGUGAAAGCAAUUCAUAUAAAUAGCGAUUCAACAACUAAUUUAACAUUUGAAACGUCGGUCUUAAUUAAUAACUCGUUGAUAAUUGUGAGCAUCAUCACUGUUGUUUACAUCUUAGGUCAUGCUUUCUCGCAGCUAAUGUAAUGAGUGCUCGUCAGGGCUUUCAUUAGCGUCCAGUGCAGCACUCGCCUGCGUCCGUCUUUUUCAUUCAAUGACGUGAAGUUCCUAUUUCAACGCCCGAGAAAGCAGGCUGGUAAAAGUCAAGCUGAUCAAGCCAAAUCAAUCAAUCACCGGUACCGUCAAUGUCGUUUGUUCUUCAACGUUGACCUCCGACCGGGCACAAACGAGAUGCGAAAACAUCUACGUGAUCCAAAUCUCGAUUUGAAAUUGUAUCUUGAGCGUCACCCCGCCGUUAGAAACAGACAACUAAUUAAUUCGCUCCCAUCUGAUUAGUGCACUCCCUUUUUUGUCAGUCAAAUUUGCAUUUUAUGGUUUGACUAGUAAUUAAUUCCCAGGAUAUUUUGGCAUUAUGAGCACUAUUUGGGAUCAUGAAAAAAAAAAACUAAAAAAAUUGGGAGCACAAGUGUGUUUUUUUUUUUUUUGCACAAGGGAGAAUGGUGUAAAUAAUCGAGCGAAUUGCCAUUAAGGUGAAAUGAAGCCGUCAAGUCUUUCCACAUUCCUGUAUCUUAAAAAAAAAAACAUGGAUAUAGUGGGGGAAAAAGAGCGUGAAGGUGACGCGUUAGCAUCUAGAAACGUCACACAUCACUUGAGAUGCAGUGCUGCUGCUGCUGC